rnacentral:rRNA from 1 species
AAACCUGAGAAACCCGAAAGAUCGAAUGGGGAGAUUCAUCGUCAGCGAUUCCGGUGCGUGUGCGGUUCGCGAUGUCUGAGACCUCGGUCUCGCGGCACGGUCCGUAUGUUUUUAUUGCUGGAAUCGUCGGCGUGCACUUCUCCCCUAGUAGGACGUCGCGACCCGUUGGGUGUCGGUCUACGGCACGGUAGGGUAGCCUGUCACGUGUGCGCUUCACGGCGUUACGCGGGGCAGACCUCCGUUCGCCCGACACGGACCAAGGAGAUGUGCGCGAGUCAUUGGGAGCUGACAUACGAACUGCGUCCGGCCCGUCGCAAGCGCGGCGAGUGUCCCGGCUGUACGGAUCCAAUGCCGUCACCGAGCCUCGCCAGCUGUUGGCUGACGGUGUCCUAGGACUGGCUAGCUGAUACCGGUCGGCGACGCUACUGCUUUGGGUACUUUCAGGACCCGUCUUGAAACACGGACCAAGGAGUCUAACAUGUGCGCGAGUCAUUGGGAGCUAUUAAGCCUAAAGGCGCAAUGAAAGUGAAGAUCGGCCUCGCGCCGAUCGAGGGAGGAUGGGCCGCGUCACGAUGCGGUCCCGCACUCCCGGGGCGUCUCGUUCUCAU